ensembl:snRNA RNU6-302P RNA, U6 small nuclear 302, pseudogene
GUGCGUGCCUCGGCAGCAUAGAUACUAAAACUGGAAUGACACAGAGAGGAUUAGCAUGGUCCCUGCACGAGGAUGACACACAAAUUUGUGAAGUGUCCCAUUAAAAA